rnacentral:rRNA from 1 species
GCGACGAUCAGUAGCCGACCUGAGAGGGUGAUCGGCCACAUUGGAACUGAGACACGGUCCAAACUCCUACGGGAGGCAGCAGUGGGGAAUAUUGCACAAUGGGCGAAAGCCUGAUGCAGCAACGCCGCGUGAGUGAUGAAGGCCUCGGGUCGUAAAACUCUGUCCUCAAGGAAGAUAAUGACGGUACUUGAGGAGGAACGCCCCGGCUAACUACGUGCCAGCAGCCGCGGUAAUACGUAGGGGGCUAGCGUUAUCCGGAUUUACUGGGCGUAAAGG